rnacentral:rRNA from 1 species
GAUGAACGCUGGCGGCGUGCUUAACACAUGCAAGUCGAACGGGAAAUAUUUCAUUGAGACUUCGGUGGAUUUGAUUUAUUUCUAGUGGCGGACGGGUGAGUAACGCGUGGGUAACCUGCCUUAUACAGGGGGAUAACAGUCAGAAAUGGCUGCUAAUACCGCAUAAGCGCACAGAGCUGCAUGGCUCAGUGUGAAAAACUCCGGUGGUAUAAGAUGGACCCGCGUUGGAUUAGCUAGUUGGUGGGGUAACGGCCCACCAAGGCGACGAUCCAUAGCCGGCCUGAGAGGGUGAACGGCCACAUUGGGACUGAGACACGGCCCAGACUCCUACGGGAGGCAGCAGUGGGGGAUAUUGCACAAUGGGGGAAACGCUGAUGCAGCGACGCCGCGUGAAGGAAGAAGUAUCUCGGUAUGUAAACUUCUAUCAGCAGGGAAGAUAGUGACGGUACCUGACGAAGAAGCCCCGGCUAACUACGUG